UCCAGUGUAGAGGGCGUAGUCAGAAGAAAACGGCAACCAAUAGAAGUAAUACUCAUCAUCACUUCUAUUGGUUUCUGACACGUCCAUCAACCACCAGCACUCACCCCUCCUCCCUGCGCGUUCACCGACUCGUGAACUUGACCGACCCCGCCCCCAUCAUUCAUGCACACGCGACGAGGCUCAUCAUCACUCGGCUAGCAAGGUAACGAGAGUUAGCAGCAGGCUGAGCUACUUGGAAACUUUGCUGGCUUUUGCAGAGCUACAGGAAGAACUUUGGCUUUUGUUACACUGGACUAACCAUGUCAGGAUAACAUAGUCCCUUGGAUUAUAGUCAUUGGACUCGCAAGACCAGAUUCCAACACGGGCUGACAAUUGGAAAUGGGACCUGACACUCUUGGACACAGAUGUCGGCUACGGCAGCGGCUUCAAACAUAGGCUUUGGUGACCACAUUUCUAAUCGAGAGGUGAGAAUCUAGUUGUGCGAACGAGCGACAAACCAGCUGGGAGGAUGGAAGCACCUGUUCUCAAUUCCCCUUCUCCACCCGCGUUCAGUAACUAAAUACGGAUUCACCCCGUAAUAAGUCAACCGCAGACAGGGUCCUUCCACAACCACAUACUUAUGCCAGUAAAAGCUACAGCUCUUCUCCGAUCCAAGAAGCCUGGACUGCAGUCACCAUCUCAACACACCAACCAAGAGAAAGGCGGAUGGCUCAAUUCAAUAUGGAAAAUUGCACAAUAAAAGUUCCAGGACAUGAAGGCUGCAUACUGUGAACGUCAACCUUCAGGGCACCGUCCUGUGCAGAAGACUUUCUGCCCCAAGAGGGAUGGCUGACGGCAGACACUCACAACCAGCACAGACGCCUCCAACCUCAGACUAGGCCCUUCACAGUUGCUGCACUUACCCACCUUCCCUGAGUUUUUGUGUGGUAAUGACAACUGUAAAUAUAGUAUAAAGUAAUGUAUCUAGUGUCAUGUGUAAUACAUUGUUUAAAUUGUCCAUACAUUUCAAUGACAGUAAAUAUUGGUGGACACAAUUUGACUGUGUGGCUUUUUUUAUUCAUUCUCUGACUGAAAAUGCAUGGUUACAUAAUUUAUAUAUUCCACAAGACUACAAUCAGAAGAUUAUUUGACAGGUUGCAUUUAUUUUCUAUGUAUUAAAAAAAAACAAAGGUAACAAGACAAACAUGGUUCCAAACAAAAAAGGUGAGAUGUAUAAAUGUACAGAUUAAUGCUCCUACAGAUAAUGAAAAAUAAACUCUGCACACUGCCGGUUUGUGUGUUUUAUACCGUACUCUGUAUAAACCUUUUAUAUUUCUCUAGUGGAGCAGGGUAACCCUGGCUAAUCCUGGGUAUUGUACUGUGUAUUACAACGUCAACCCUGUUCAAGUGCCCCAUACUGUCUGUAGGCUGCAUGCCUGAAGAGUCCGUUUCUCUCACCUAGUCCUACAUCAGCCCAAAGUCUUCCAUCAAAACUGAGAACACCACAGCAUUUCCUUUCAAUGUUCAUGGGCAUCUCCUUACAGAUUGCGCAGAGGCGCCAGGUUGGUUGUGCUACUGGGCUGUGGCUGAGGACCAGAUGUCAUGUGCCAGGUCGAACAUCAAACUGGGGUCACGGCACGCUGCAGUAACCGAUGGGAUUGCUUCAAAUUCAAUGAUUGAAUCAAGGCCUGCAAAGCAAUAAAUACAUUUUAUGUAGUGCAUUUUCUAUUUGAUGAUGGGGACUAAAUAACUAUUGACAAUAAGACCGAUAUGGACAUAAGCAAUCAUUAUUGUGUAUAUAAAUAAAGAUGUGCCAAUUGUAUGCAUACAACGUUUUGCAGUCAAUUUCUUACAAACUGGUGUUGUGCCAGGGGCACACAGAUGUAUGAAGUAGAAGGGCUUUUAUGGAUGUACUUGAACUACCACUGGUGUUGUGUACCUACAACCAUGUCAUAUCACACUAGUACUCAUAGGAGUAGAAAUAUUGUAAUGGGUGUUAUCACAACAGGUGUACUCGUGCAGCCUACUCGUGUUGCGAUAUA